rnacentral:misc_RNA from 1 species
GAUGAAGAACGUAGCGAAAUGCGAUACUUGGUGUGAAUUGCAGGAUCCCGUGAACCACCGAGUCUUUGAACGCAAGUUGCGCCCGAAGCCACUAGGCCGAGGGCACGCCUGCCUGGGCGUCACACGCCGUUGCCCCCCCAUCUACUCCUUCGGGAUUGCGGGGGGGCGGAUGAUGGCCUCCUGUGCGCCUAGCCGCGCGGUUGGCAUAAAUACCAAGUCCUCGGCGACGCACGCCACGACAAUCGGUGGUUGCGAAACCUCGGUUGCCCGUCGUGUGCGUUCGUCGCGCAUCGAGGGCUCGAAAAAAUGCUCGGCUCCGGCUGGGCUUUCAACGCGACCCCAGGUCAGGCGGGGUUACCCGCUGAAUUUAAGCAUAUCAAUAAGCGGAGGA